UUCCGGUUGAUCCUGCCGGCGGUCACCGCUUUUGGAAUCCGAUUAAGCCAUGCGAGUCGAGAGGGUUCGGCCCUCGGCGGACUGCUCAGUAACACGUGGAUAACCUAACCUGAGAUGGGGCAUAACCUCGGAAAACUGAGAAUAAUACCCCAUAGGUCUAAGCUGCUGGAAUGCUCUUAGGCUGAAAGCUCCGGCGUCUCAGGAUGGGUCUGCGGCCUAUCAGGUUGUAGUGAGUGUAACGGACUCACUAGCCGACGACGGGUACGGGCCAUGGGAGUGGUAGCCCGGAGAUGGACUCUGAGACACGAGUCCAGGCCCUACGGGGCGCAGCAGGCGCGAAAACUUCGCAAUGCGCGAAAGCGCGACGAGGGGAUUCCAAGUGCAUGCACUCAGUGUAUGCUGUUUGUUAGUUUAAAACGCUAGUAGAGUAAGGGCUGGGUAAGACUGGUGCCAGCCGCCGCGGUAAUACCAGCGGCCCUAGUGGUGAUCGUUAUUAUUGGGCCUAAAGCGUCCGUAGCCGGCCCGGUAAAUCUCUGGGUAAAUCGAUGGGCUCAACUCAUCGAAUUCUGGGGAGACUGCUGGGCUUGGGACCGGGAGAGGUCGGAGGUACUACAGGGGUAGGGGUGAAAUCCUGUAAUCCCUGUGGGACCACCGGUGGCGAAGGCGUCCGACCAGAACGGGUCCGACGGUAAGGGACGAAGCCCUGGGGCGCAAACCGGAUUAGAUACCCGGGUAGUCCAGGGUGUAAACGCUGCGCGCUUGGUGUUGGGGGUCCUCCGUGGGCAUCCAGUGCC
rnacentral:rRNA from 1 species